AUUGAACGCUGGCGGCAUGCCUUACACAUGCAAGUCGAACGGCAGCAUGGAAGAGCUUGCUCUUCUGAUGGCGAGUGGCGAACGGGUGAGUAAAGCAUCGGAACGUACCGUGUAGUGGGGGAUAACGUAGCGAAAGUUACGCUAAUACCGCAUACGCACUGAGGUGGAAAGCAGGGGAUCGCAAGACCUUGCGCUAUACGAGCGGCUGAUUAGCUUGUUGGUAAGGUAAGAGCUUACCAAGGCGACGAUCAGUAUCUGGUUUGAGAGGACGAUCAGACACACUGGAACUGAGACACGGUCCAGACUCCUACGGGAGGCAGCAGUGGGGAAUUUUCCGCAAUGGGCGAAAGCCUGACGGAGCAAUACCGCGUGAGGGAAGAAUGCCUAUGGGUUGUAAACCUCUUUUUUCAGGGAGGAAUCAAAUGACGUGUACCUGAAGAAUAAGCAUCGGCUAACUCCGUG
rnacentral:rRNA from 1 species